rnacentral:rRNA from 1 species
UACGUUGGGGGCAAGCGUUGUCCGGAAUCAUUGGGCGUAAAGAGCGUGUAGGCGGCCAGAUAAGUCCGCUGUGAAAUCUCGAGGCUCAACUUCGAGCUGUCGGUGGAAACUGUCUGGCUAGAGUCCGGAAGAGGAGAAUGGAAUUCCUGGUGUAGCGGUGAAAUGCGCAGAUAUCGGGAAGAACACCCGUGGCGAAGGCGGCUCUCUGGGACGGUACUGACGCUGAGACGCGAAAGCGUGGGGAGCGAACAGG